CCCUUAGAUGUUCUGGGCCGCACGCGCGCUACACUGACUGGUGCAACAAGUGUCUGACCUUGGCUCGAGAGGCCUGGGCAACCUUUGAACGCCAGUCGUGCUGGGGAUAGAUUCUUGCAAUUAUUAAUCUUCAACGAGGAAUUCCUAGUAAACGCAAGUCAUCAGCUUGCAUUGAUUACGUCCCUGCCCUUUGUACACACCGCCCGUCGCACCUACCGAUUGGAUGGUCCGGUGAAGCCUCGGGAUUGUGGCGGUUGCCUUUAUUGGUGGCCGCCGCGAGAACUUGUCUAAACCUUAUCAUCUAGAGGAAGGUGAANUCGUAACA
rnacentral:rRNA from 1 species